GCCAACGUAGCUCAGUCGGUAAGAGCGGGCGUUUCAUAAGCGCCAGGUCCCUGGUUCGAUCCCAGGCGUUGGCACCA
rnacentral:tRNA from 1 species